rnacentral:rRNA from 16 species
UUAAGUGAAUAAGGGCGCACGGUGGAUGCCUUGGCACUAGGAGCCGAUGAAGGACGGGACUAACACCGAUAUGCUUUGGGGAGCUGUACGUAAGCUAUGAUCCAGAGAUUUCCGAAUGGGGGAACCCAACAUCUUUAAUAGGAUGUUACGAUUGUGUGAAUACAUAGCACAUUCGAGGUAGACGCAGAGAACUGAAACAUCUAAGUACCUGCAGGAAGAGAAAGAAAAUUCGAUUCCCUGAGUAGCGGCGAGCGAAACGGGAAAAGCCCAAACCAGCAAGCUUGCUUGUUGGGGUUGUAGGACUCCAAUAUGGUAGUUCUUUCAGAUAGUCGAAUGACUUGGAAAAGUCAGUCAAAGAGGGUAAAAACCCCGUAGACGAAAUGUGGAAGACACCUAGGAGGAUCCUGAGUACGGCGGAACACGAGAAAUUCCGUCGGAAUCCGGGAGGACCAUCUCCCAAGGCUAAAUACUCCCUAGUGACCGAUAGUGAACCAGUACCGUGAGGGAAAGGUGAAAAGCACCCCGGAAGGGGAGUGAAAUAGAACCUGAAACCGUGUGCCUACAACAAGUCAAAGCCCGUUAAUGGGUGAUGGCGUGCCUUUUGUAGAAUGAACCGGCGAGUUACGAUUGCAUGCGAGGUUAAGUUGAAGAGACGGAGCCGCAGCGAAAGCGAGUCUGAAUAGGGCGUUUGAGUAUGUAGUCGUAGACCCGAAACCAUGUGAUCUACCCAUGUCCAGGUUGAAGGUGCGGUAAAACGCACUGGAGGACCGAACCCACGUACGUUGAAAAGUGCGGGGAUGAGGUGUGGGUAGCGGAGAAAUUCCAAACGAACUUGGAGAUAGCUGGUUCUCUCCGAAAUAGCUUUAGGGCUAGCCUCGGAAUUGAGAAUGAUGGAGGUAGAGCACUGUUUGGACUAGGGGCCCAUCUCGGGUUACCGAAUUCAGAUAAACUCCGAAUGCCAUUCAUUCAUAUCCGGGAGUCAGACUGUGAGUGAUAAGAUCCAUAGUCGAAAGGGAAACAGCCCAGACCACCAGCUAAGGUCCCAAAAUAUAUGUUAAGUGGAAAAGGAUGUGGGGUUGCACAGACAACUAGGAUGUUGGCUUAGAAGCAGCCAUCAUUUAAAGAGUGCGUAAUAGCUCACUAGUCGAGUGACCCUGCGCCGAAAAUGUACCGGGGCUAAACAUAUUACCGAAGCUGUGGAGUACACCUUUAGGUGUAUUGGUAGGAGAGCGUUCUAAGGGCGUUGAAGGCAGAUCGUGAGGACUGCUGGAGCGCUUAGAAGUGAGAAUGCCGGUAUGAGUAGCGAAAGACAGGUGAGAAUCCUGUCCACCGAAUGACUAAGGUUUCCUGGGGAAGGCUCGUCCGCCCAGGGUUAGUCGGGACCUAAGCCGAGGCCGACAGGCGUAGGCGAUGGAUAACAGGUUGAUAUUCCUGUACCCGUUGUUUUUGUUUGAGCAAUGGAGGGACGCAGGAGGCUAAGGAAUGCAGACGAUCGGAAAUGUCUGUCCAAGCAGUAAGUCUGAAGAGGAGUCAAAUGCUUCUUUUCUUAAGGACAAGCUGUGAUGGGGAGGGAAAUAAUAGUACCGAAGUUCCUGAUGUCACACUGCCGAGAAAAGCUUCUAGUGAGAAAACAGCGGCCCGUACCGCAAACCGACACAGGUAGUCGAGGAGAGAAUCCUAAGGUGAGCGAGAGAACUCUCGUUAAGGAACUCGGCAAAAUGACCCCGUAACUUCGGGAGAAGGGGUGCUGAUCAUACGAUCAGCCGCAGUGAAUAGGCCCAAGCGACUGUUUAUCAAAAACACAGGUCUCUGCAAAAUCGUAAGAUGAAGUAUAGGGGCUGACGCCUGCCCGGUGCUGGAAGGUUAAGAGGAGUGCUUAGCGCAAGCGAAGGUACGAAUUGAAGCCCCAGUAAACGGCGGCCGUAACUAUAACGGUCCUAAGGUAGCGAAAUUCCUUGUCGGGUAAGUUCCGACCCGCACGAAAGGCGUAACGAUUUGGGCACUGUCUCAACGAGAGACUCGGUGAAAUUUUAGUACCUGUGAAGAUGCAGGUUACCCGCGACAGGACGGAAAGACCCCAUGGAGCUUUACUGUAGUUUGAUAUUGAGUGUCUGUACCGCAUGUACAGGAUAGGUAGGAGCCGUAGAAAUCGGAACGCUAGUUUCGAUGGAGGCGCUGGUGGGAUACUACCCCUGCGUUAUGGCCACUCUAACCCGCACCACUAAUCGUGGUGGGAGACAGUGUCAGAUGGGCAGUUUGACUGGGGCGGUCGCCUCCUAAAAGGUAACGGAGGCGCCCAAAGGUUCCCUCAGAAUGGUUGGAAAUCAUUCGAAGAGUGUAAAGGCAGAAGGGAGCUUGACUGCGAGACCAACAAGUCGAGCAGGGACGAAAGUCGGGCUUAGUGAUCCGGUGGUUCCGCAUGGAAGGGCCAUCGCUCAACGGAUAAAAGCUACCCUGGGGAUAACAGGCUUAUCUCCCCCAAGAGUCCACAUCGACGGGGAGGUUUGGCACCUCGAUGUCGGCUCGUCGCAUCCUGGGGCUGUAGUCGGUCCCAAGGGUUGGGCUGUUCGCCCAUUAAAGCGGCACGCGAGCUGGGUUCAGAACGUCGUGAGACAGUUCGGUCCCUAUCCGUCGCGGGCGUUGGAAAUUUGAGAGGAGCUGUCCUUAGUACGAGAGGACCGGGAUGGACUUACCGCUGGUGUACCAGUUGUUCUGCCAAGGGCAUUGCUGGGUAGCUAUGUAGGGAAGGGAUAAACGCUGAAAGCAUCUAAGUGUGAAGCCCACCUCAAGAUGAGAUUUCCCAUUUCUUUAAGAAAGUAAGAUCCCUGAGAGAUGAUCAGGUAGAUAGGUCAGGAGUGGAAGUACAGUGAUGUAUGGAGCGGACUGAUACUAAUCGAUCGAGGACUUAACCAA